rnacentral:rRNA from 1 species
UACGAGGGGGGCAAGUGUUGUUCGGAAUCACUGGGCGUAAAGGGAGCGUAGGCGGAUGUUUAAGUCGGGAGUUUAAAACCGGGGCCCAACCCCGGAGCGGCUCCCGAAACUGGGCAUCUUGAAUAGGUCAGAGGCUGGUGGAAUUGGAGGUGUAGCGGUGGAAUGCGUAGAGAUCGGGAAGAACAUCAGUGGCGAAGGCGGCCUGCUGGGCUGUUGCUGACGCUGAGGCGCGACAGCGUGGGGAGCAAACAGG